UACGGAGGGUGCAAGCGUUGUCCGGAUUUAUUGGGUUUAAAGGGCGCGUAGGCGGCGUAGUAAGUCCGUGGUGAAAGCCAACAGCUCAACUGUUGAACUGCCAUGGAUACUGCUAGGCUUGAGUACAGACGAGGUAGGCGGAAUGGAUAGUGUAGCGGUGAAAUGCAUAGAUACUAUCCAGAACACCGAUUGCGAAGGCAGCUUACUAGACUGUAACUGACGCUGAGGCACGAAAGCGUGGGGAGCGAACAGG
rnacentral:rRNA from 1 species